rnacentral:rRNA from 1 species
GAUGAACGCUGGCGGCGUGCCUAAUACAUGCAAGUCGAGCGAACGUACGAGAAGCUUGCUUUUCUGAUGUUAGCGGCGGACGGGUGAGUCACACGUAGCUAACCUCUCUCUAAGACUGGGAUAACUUCGGGAAGCCGGAGCUAAUACCGGAUAAUAUUUUGAACCGCAUGAUUCAAAAGUGAAAGACGGUCUUGCUGUCACUUAUAGAUGGAUCCGCGCUGCAUUAGCUAGUUGGUAAGGUACCGGCUUAGCAAGGCAACGAUGCAUAGCCGACCUGAGAGGGGGAGCGGGAAGACUGGAAUUGAGACACGGUACAGACUCCUACGGGAGGCAGCAGUAGGGAAUCUUACGCAAUGGGCGAAAGGCUGACGGAGCAACGCCGCGUGAGUGAUGAAGGUCUUCGGAUCGUAAAACUCUGUUAUUAGGGAAGAACAUAUGUGUAAGUAACUGUGCACAUCUUGACGGUACCUAAACAGAAAGCCACGGCUAACUACGUG